GAACGCUGAAGGCCCAGCUUGCUGGGUUGGAUGAGUGGCGAACGGGUGAGUAACACGUGAGUAACCUGCCCCCUUCUUUGGGAUAACGGUCGGAAACGGCUGCUAAUACCGGGUAUUCACUGUCCUUCGCAUGGGGGGUGGUGGAAAGGUUUUUUCUGGUGGGGGAUGGGCUCGCGGCCUAUCAGCUUGUUGGUGGGGUGAUGGCUUACCAAGGCUUUGACGGGUAACCGGCCUGAGAGGGUGACCGGUCACAUUGGGACUGAGAUACGGCCCAGACUCCUACGGGAGGCAGCAGUGGGGAAUAUUGCACAAUGGGCGAAAGCCUGAUGCAGCGACGCCGCGUGAGGGAUGACGGCCUUCGGGUUGUAAACCUCUUUCGCUCAUGGUCAAGCCGCAACAGUGGUUGUGGUGAGGGUAGUGGGUAAAGAAGCACCGGCUAACUACGUGCCAGCAGCCGCGGUAAUACGUAGGGUGCGAGCGUUGUCCGGAAUUAUUGGGCGUAAAGGGCUUGUAGGCGGUUUGUCGCGUCUGCCGUGAAAUCCUCUGGCUUAACUGGGGGCGUGCGGUGGGUACGGGCAGGCUUGAGUGCGGUAGGGGAGACU
rnacentral:rRNA from 1 species